GACGAACGCUGGCGGCGUGCUUAACACAUGCAAGUCGAACGAAGAGCGAUGGAAGCUUGCUUCUAUCAAUCUUAGUGGCGAACGGGUGAGUAACGCGUAAUCAACCUGCCCUUCAGAGGGGGACAACAGUUGGAAACGACUGCUAAUACCGCAUACGAUCUAAACUCGGCAUCGAGGAUAGAUGAAAGGUGGCCUCUACAUGUAAGCUAUCACUGAAGGAGGGGAUUGCGUCUGAUUAGCUAGUUGGAGGGGUAACGGCCCACCAAGGCGAUGAUCAGUAGCCGGUCUGAGAGGAUGAACGGCCACAUUGGGACUGAGACACGGCCCAGACUCCUACGGGAGGCAGCAGUGGGGAAUCUUCCGCAAUGGACGAAAGUCUGACGGGGCAACGCCGCGUGAGUGAUGACGGCCUUCGGGUUGUAAAGCUCUGUUAAUCGGGACGAAAGGCCUUCUUGCGAAUAGUGAGAAGGAUUGACGGUACCGGAAUAGAAAGCCACGGCUAACUAUGUG
rnacentral:rRNA from 1 species